CGGACGGGUGAGUAACGCGUGGGUAACCUGCCCUGUACAGGGGGACAACAGUUGGAAACGACUGCUAAUACCGCAUAAGCGCACAGCUUCGCAUGAAGCAGUGUGAAAAACUCCGGUGGUACAGGAUGGACCCGCGUCUGAUUAGAUAGUUGGUGAGGUAACGGCCCACCAAGUCAACGAUCAGUAGCCGGCCUGAGAGGGCGAACGGCCACAUUGGGACUGAGACACGGCCCAA
rnacentral:rRNA from 2 species